rnacentral:rRNA from 1 species
GAUGAACGCUGGCGGCGUGCCUAAUACAUGCAAGUCGAGCGAACAGACGAGGAGCUUGCUCCUCUGACGUUAGCGGCGGACGGGUGAGUAACACGUGGAUAACCUACCUAUAAGACUGGGAUAACUUCGGGAAACCGGAGCUAAUACCGGAUAAUAUAUUGAACCGCAUGGUUCAAUAGUGAAAGACGGUUUUGCUGUCACUUAUAGAUGGAUCCGCGCCGCAUUAGCUAGUUGGUAAGGUAACGGCUUACCAAGGCAACGAUGCGUAGCCGACCUGAGAGGGUGAUCGGCCACACUGGAACUGAGACACGGUCCAGACUCCUACGGGAGGCAGCAGUAGGGAAUCUUCCGCAAUGGGCGAAAGCCUGACGGAGCAACGCCGCGUGAGUGAUGAAGGUCUUCGGAUCGUAAAACUCUGUUAUUAGGGAAGAACAAAUGUGUAAGUAACUACGCACGUCUUGACGGUACCUAAUCAGAAAGCCACGGCUAACUACGUG